rnacentral:rRNA from 1 species
GGGACCCAGGUCAGCGGGACACCG